rnacentral:rRNA from 1 species
GAUGAACGCUGGCGGCGUGCCUAAUACAUGCAAGUCGAACGCAUUGAGAGAAGUGCUUGCACUUUUCAAUUUGAGUGGCGAACGGGUGAGUAACACGUGGGCAACCUACCUGAUAGCGGGGGAUAACGAGUGGAAACAUUCGCUAAUACCGCAUAACAAUAGGGAAGGCAUCUUCUUUAUUUAAAAGGCGCUUUCAAGCGUCACUACCAGAUGGCCCCGCGGUGCAUUAGUUAGUUGUUGGGGUGAAGGCCUACCAAGACGAUGAUGCAUAUCCGAUUUGAGGGACUGAUCGGCCACAUUGGGCCUGAGGCUCGGCCCAAACUCCUACGGGAGGCUGCAGUAGGGAAUCUUCCACAAUGGACGAAAGUCUGAUGGAGCAACGCCGCGUGUGUGAUGAAGGCUUUCGGGUCGUAAAGCACUGUUGUAUGGGAAGAAAUGCUAGGCUAGGAAAUGAGCUUAGUUUGACGGUACCAUACCAGAAAGGGACGGCUAAAUACGUGCCAGCCGCCGCUGUAA